rnacentral:lncRNA from 1 species
GGACAUGAUGUGAAGGGACAAGAAGGGGAGACCACUGGAGUGGGGGGGGAGCGGAGUGUGCUUCUAAGCAUCCAGAUGCCGAGGGCACCCCAAUCUGUGCUUGGGCCUGGGGGAGGAGGACACUGUGUCCCUGUGGGUCACACAGAAGCUCAAAUAAAGGCCAAAAGCUAGGAAGUGAUGUGGGGCUCAGGGGCUUGGAACCAACUCUGCUGCCUGAGACUUCACUUUUGUCAGCCUAUGGAAAGCU